rnacentral:rRNA from 1 species
GACGAACGCUGGCGGCGCGCUUAACACAUGCAAGUCGAGCGAAGCGGCGGACGGGUGAGUAACACGUGAGUAACCUGCCUAAGACAUUGGGAGAGCAUCGGGAAACCGGGAUUAAUACCAAAUGGUCUAAGAUGGACUCGCGUCCCAUUAGCUAGUUGGUGGGUAACGGCACACCAAGGCGGUGACGGGUGGCCGGCCUGGGAGGGGGACCGGCCACAUUGGGACUUAGAUACGGCCCAGACUCUACGGGAGGCAGCAGUGGGGGAUAUUGCACAAUGGGCGAAAGCCUGAUGCAGGGACGCUGCGUGGGGGAUGAAGGCUUUCGGGUUUUAAACCUCUUUCGCUAUCGAACGGGUAGGUGGAGAAGAAGCGCCGGCUAACUACGUGCCAGCAGCCGCGGUAAUAC